GGANUUGCNAAUGGGGGAACCCUGAUGCAGCGACGCCGCGUGAGCGAUGAAGCCCCUCGGGGUGUAAAGCUCUUUCGGCAGGGAAGAUUAUGACGGUACCUGCAAAAGCAGCUGCGGCUAACUACGUGCCAGCAGCCGCGGUAAUACGUAGGCAGCAAGCGUUGUUCGGAGUUACUGGGCGUAAAGGGUGCGUAGGCGGCUUUUUAAGUUUGGUGUGAAAUCUCCCGGCUCAACUGGGAGGGUGCGCCGAAUACUGAGAGGCUAGAGUGUGGGAGAGGAAAGUGGAAUUCCCGGUGUAGCGGUGAAAUGCGUAGAUAUCAGGAGGAACACCGGUGGUGUAAACGGCUUUCUGGACCAUAACUGACGCUGAGGCACGAAAGCGUGGGUAGCAAACAGGAUUAGAUACCCUGGUAGUCCACGCCCUAAACGAUGCAUAUUUGGUGUGGGCCAUUCAUUUGGUCUGUGCCGGAGCUAACGCGUUAAAUAUGCCGCCUGGGGAGUACAGUCGCAAGGCUGAAACUCAAAAGAAUUGACGGA
rnacentral:rRNA from 1 species